AACGAACGCUGGCGGCAGGCCUAACACAUGCAAGUCGAGCGCCCCGCAAGGGGAGCGGCGGACGGGUGAGUAACGCGUGGGAACGUGCCUCUUGCUACGGAAUAGCCUCGGGAAACUGGGAGUAAUACCGUAUGUGCCCUACGGGGGAAAGAUUUAUCGGCAAGAGAUCGGCCCGCGUUGGAUUAGGUAGUUGGUGGGGUAAUGGCCUACCAAGCCGACGAUCCAUAGCUGGUUUGAGAGGAUGAUCAGCCACACUGGGACUGAGACACGGCCCAGACUCCUACGGGAGGCAGCAGUGGGGAAUCUUAGACAAUGGGCGCAAGCCUGAUCUAGCCAUGCCGCGUGAGCGAUGAAGGCCUUAGGGUUGUAAAGCUCUUUCAGUGGGAAGAUGAUGACUGUACCCACAGAAGAAGCCCCGGCUAACUCCGUG
rnacentral:rRNA from 1 species